AGGUGCGAUCAUUCCAGCACUAAUGCAUCGGAUCCCAUCUAAUCAAUGCAGAUAAGCAUGCUUAUGCGAGAGUAGUACUAGGAUGGGUGGCUUCCUAGGAAGUCAUCGUACUCUUU
rnacentral:rRNA from 2 species